GCCGGCAUAGCUCAGUUGGUAGAGCACUUCUUUUGUAAAGAAGAUGUCCGGGGUUCGAUCCCUCGUGCCGGCUCCA
rnacentral:tRNA from 8 species